AGGGUAUUAGUUUAAAAAAACAUCUAAUUUGCAUUUAGAAGAAGAAAUUAUUCAUACCUUA
rnacentral:tRNA from 1 species